UUUAUUUUUUUGCAUAAAAUUAUUAUUAAAAUUCUUUCACAACUUCAGCAUGUUUAAAAUAUUACCAAAAAAUUAAUUUAGUAAAAAACAUGCCCUGGCGCCAUUAAUAUGUAUGAUAGAUAUAAAAGGACUAAAAGAUCGAUUUAAUAUGAAACAGGCCAGAAAUUUAUAUUAACACCCCGACUAUGCUCAUUCACAUACAUUUUGAAUAUGAAAGACACGAAGAAUUGAUAGGCAAGAGUUUAGAAUUGGCUCUAAUGUUAUAUUAUUAAAAGAUCGAUUUAGUAGAAAAUAAGUCUCGAAGUAAAUAUUAACGAAUUUCUACUUUCCAAUUUUUUAAUAUAAUU
rnacentral:lncRNA from 1 species